rnacentral:rRNA from 1 species
AUAUCAGUAAGCGGAGGAAAAGAAACUAACAAGGAUUACCUCAGUAGCGGCGAGUGAAGAGGUAACAGCCCAAGAUGUAAAUCUGAACCGUAAGGGGAAGAAUUGUAAUCUAUAGGAAUUCUCGGAAGCGAUUAGUAAGUCAUAAGUCCCUUGGAAAAGGGUACCAUAGAGGGUGAUAGUCCCGUCUUCGGAUUUACUAAUGUGUACGAGGGUUUUCUAAGAGUCGGGUAGUUUGGGAAUGCUGCCCUAAUUAGGAGAUAAACUUCUUCUAAGGCUAAAUAUUUAUAGGAGACCGAUAGCGCACAAGUA